CCUACCCCUAGAUCCCUGUAUAAGGAGGCGCCCAUUUCUGGCGAAGCGCUUAGGCUUCGGAGCACAACUCCACUGAGCCCUCCAGCGUAAUUAAAGGUUUGUCUCCACCUCUUCAAGUGACUUUCGGAUUCUCAAGUCUUCGAAUUGCAGCAGCAGCGGAUGCGUAUAGCACCGAGCUCUUCACCUUUGCCACAACAGGAUGAAUCUACGUAGAUGGCUUAUUGCCUGGAUGGCCUAAGACCUAAAGAAGGAUGGGUCCGCUUCUGUUCUUCUUCAGCAAAGCUCCAGUCUUCGCCUUCACCUUGGUCGUCAUCUCCUCCUGGCUUCCAGCAUAGACGCUUCAGCUUCCAGUGCAGAUCCAUCAGCCUUUCGGAGUAGACUCUUCACACAUCCGUCGCAGACCCAUCGGCCUCCUGACACAAACUCACACAGGACACUGCAGUGAGCUCCAGAGCUUCGACUGGAUCCUUUGGUCUCCAGGGUCCAGACAGACCCUCUGCCCUCUUCCUCAUCUGACUCUGGCAUGCAGCUCCUGCUUUGGUGGGCCUUCACUUGUGGACUGUGGCUUAUGAACUGAGUGAGUUGUGGACUGUGGGCUUGUGGACUGAGCCAGCUGUCACACCAUAGACCAGAUGCUACUGCUUGCCAGAAAGCCUGGUACUUGUCGCAGAAAUGAGAGGUAGGCUCUGCUCCCAAGGAGCGCACAGAUCCAAAGUGGAAGACUUGGUGUUUGAAAUGGCUGUGGCUCCACCUGCACCCAGACUGCAGUCGCAAGGAUUCUCCACUCCAUGGCUGAUUGUGUCACUGCUAGUCGACAGCUGUCCCGCAUCCAGAGAGGACUGGGAUUGAUUUAGGUCAGUGAGUCUGGUUUCUCCUUUAAACCGUGUUCUAACUGAGGAGUGGGGAUCUGCGCCAGCCCCCGUGACCAGCCUUAAGUGGGAGCUGGGGAAUCCCACAGCGUCAAUGCGGUGAGUCGCCCAGGCCCCAGCCAGACAAACCAUGGCAAGCAUCCUCUCCUUUGUCCUAGCCUUUACUCCUGCAGGUAGAGCAGCGUGGCGUACGAAGCCCCCAAACUGUACACACGCGUGGUGGGCGACCAGCCGUGCCCCGUCAGAGGCAGUUUGGUGACCAGGCUCCGAGCAGUACCUGGUCAGCUGAAUAUGCACGCUAGAAGCCAUCGUGUACAAUCAGACUGCAUCUCGGCUCCUGGCUAAACAAAGAUUCCAGUAGUCCCAGGAACCUGCUUUGCUGACUCCUUUUAAAACCUAGUGGGAAAAGAGUCCCAACUGAUACAAUCCAGGAAGCUUUUCUGUAACCCCUUGGAGACAUUUAUAUUGUGAAGAAAAUUGAACUUCAGGAAAAGGUGCGGGUAUCUUACUGUGGAAUUUCCAGCACCAAGUCUCCAGGUUGUCCUGAAAUCACAUGCUACCAAGGACUGAGGAAUGCUAAUUCUCAACUGCAAAUACUGACUUACAGACCAUAUAGCAAAGAAUAAGCAAAGAGAGGGUUGUGGGAAAAUGGACAAAACUCUAUGAAAGAAAGUCAAUCAAAACCCUAUAUGGCUAAUACAUUUCAGUUAAUUUGAGAUAUUUAUUCAGAAGAAUAAGGCACACAUUUUAUUUUCCAUUUGCAUUUUGGAAAGAGAACCCAGUGAGGAGGUGGCUUUCAAUGCCUGUUAUAGUUUGAAUCUGAAAUGUCUCCCAGAAGUUCUCGUGUUAAAUGGUGGGUCCACAGCUGAUGGCACUGCUAUAUUAGGAGGUAGUGGAACCUUUAGGAGGUGGGGCCUCGUGGCAGGAAGUAAGGUUAUUGGGGGCGUGGUCUUAUAGGGGAUAUUGGGACCUUGGCCCCUUCCUCUCUUUUUCUUCUUCCUGGCUGCCAUGAUGGGAGUAGCUAGUUUCACCCUAUGUGACUCCUGGUCACAGGGCCAAAGUGACAGGUCCAAGUGACCAUGGACUGAUACCUUUAAAACUAUGAGCCAACAUAAAUAUUUCCUCUUCUAAGUUAUUUGUCUUGGGUAUUUGUCACAGCUAUGGAACACCAACACAAUGCCAUUGUUAGAAAUCUCUGUUCAGCUCAGAUCAGGGAAAAAUUCUCUUCCCUGGCCCUCUGAACUCUCCAUUCUGAUUUUUUACCCCACAUGCUCUUUGGCAGUCUUGUGAAGUCAGUGGAUCACUUCUCAAGAAUGUUUUUUCUGUACACCUUCAGUGCAAUAAACGGAAUUAUAAACUAAUUAUAAAUGUCUUGCUUAAGAACCUUCACCUUAGAAAA